GUUGCUGCUGCUCCCAGUCCUGCCCCUGCUGCUACCUAGUCCAGCCUCACUGCAUCCCAGAAGAGCCACGUCGGCCUUCAUUUGCCUAGUGGAUUUUCAAAAGCUCUUCGGUUUUUGGUGCUGUUAAGAGACCUUGCAUUUCAAUCACACGGGAGAAAACUGAAGCUCGUAACAGGAGAAUCUGGCAGCUGGACACAGCUUGGACUGCAUUGUCUGGCUUCAUGACCCCUGCUGUGUAGCCGGCUCAUCUCUUCACUCUCACAUGUACACUCUCCUCGCUUUUCUUUCUUUUUUUUCCCCCUUUUCUUUCUUCUAAUUUUUAAAAAGCAGCCUCUGGAGCCAGCCAUGUUUGGCACUGAAUCUUCAUGGUGGACAUCUUCAUUAUCAAGGUUCCUGUAACUAAAAGGGAACAGAUCGUUUGAGAUCUUGCUCCACUUGUCCUUGAGGGUUAUUAAGAGAAAAAUAUUUGUUGAAUGAGUGAACGUGGGAUCUCUGUUCAUUUUGAUAUAUUACUUUGCUUUCUGGGCUGAGCUCAGGACAGAUGCC
rnacentral:sRNA from 1 species